UACAGGGGGUGCAAACGUUGCUCGGAAUUAUUGGGCGUAAAGAGCUCGUAGGCGGUUUGUUGCGUCGGCUGUGAAAUCCCGAGGCUCAACCUCGGGUCUGCAGUCGAUACGAGCAAACUAGAGUGUUGCAGGGGAGACUGGAAUUCCUGGUGUAGCGGUGAGAUGCGCAGAUAUCAGGAGGAACACCGGUGGCGAAGGCGGUUCUCUGGGCAUGUCCUGACGCUGAGGAGCGAAAGUGUGGGGAGCGAACAGG
rnacentral:rRNA from 1 species